rnacentral:rRNA from 1 species
AGACGCGUACGGUACGCGCCAUACAGGGGAGUAACAGUUAGAAAUGACUGCUAAUACCGCAUAAGCGCACAGUGCUGCAUGGCACAGUGUGAAAAACUCCGGUGGUAUGAGAUGGACCCGCGUCUGAUUAGCUAGUUGGUGGGGUAACGGCCUACCAAGGCGACGAUCAGUAGCCGGCCUGAGAGGGUGAACGGCCACAUUGGGACUGAGACACGGCCCAA